rnacentral:tRNA from 1 species
GUGGGAUUAGUUCAGUUGGUUAGAGCGUCAGUUUGUGGCACUGGAGGUCAUCGGUUCGAAUCCGAUAUCCCACCCCA